rnacentral:lncRNA from 1 species
AUUUAACACCAGGUAUAUACUGUUUAUAGGUCAAAGGAAAUGUUGGCGGUUGUCUUAGGUGAGCAAUAAAAGAAUACUAAGUUUAUUCAAAGUUUCAGAAUACAACUUUUGGUUACAUUCUUAGAAAAAUUGUAUUUUUAAGUACCUAACCCUAAUACUAUUCUCUCCUUUGACCCCAACAUUCUCAAGUUCCAGUGAAAUGUUAUAAAAUUAGAGAAUGUUGUAGAUGAGCAGAUAAACAGUCUGAUUACAGUCCGAUAACUUUGGGCAGUAGAAAUAUACUUUAAAAAAAAAGUGUAUUCUUUUCAGUCUACUAUUAUGGCAUUGGACCAUUUUAUGCAUAUAUUCAUGAACUA